rnacentral:rRNA from 1 species
CAGAACGAACGCUGGCGGCGCGUUUAAGCAUGCAAGUCGAGCGGCAAGGGCCUUCGGGCCCCUAGAGCGGCGGACGGGUGAGUAACACGUGGACAAUCUGCCCCCCGGCCCGGGAUAGCCCAGGGAAACCUGGAUUAAUACCGGAUGAGACGGGACCCGCGAUGGCGGGACCCGGGAAAGGCGCUGCGGCGCCGCCGGGGGAUGAGUCUGCGUCCCAUUAGCUAGACGGCGGGGUAACGGCCCACCGUGGCGACGAUGGGUAGCCGGCCUGAGAGGGUGGACGGCCACAUUGGAACUGAGACACGGUCCAGACUCCUACGGGAGGCAGCAGCUAAGAAUCUUCCGCAAUGGGCGAAAGCCUGACGGAAGCGACGCCGCGUGAACGAAGAAGGCCGUGAGGUUGUAAAGUUCUUUUCGGGAGGGGGAACAACCGUGGCAGGGAAUGGCCGCGGGAUGACGUGAAUCCCGGAAUAAGCCCCGGCUAACUACGUGCCAGCCGCCGC